rnacentral:rRNA from 1 species
UACGUAGGGCGCAAGCGUUGUCCGGAAUUAUUGGGCGUAAAGAGCUCGUAGGCGGUUUGUCACGUCGGAUGUGAAAGCCCGGGGCUUAACCCCGGGUCUGCAUUCGAUACGGGCAGACUGGAGUGUGGUAGGGGAGAUCGGAAUUCCUGGUGUAGCGGUGAAAUGCGCAGAUAUCAGGAGGAACACCGGUGGCGAAGGCGGAUCUCUGGGUCAUUACUGACGCUGAGGAGCGAAAGCGUGGGGAGCGAACAGG